CUUGCAUGCAAUUGAUAAGUUUUAGUUAACCCGCCGAAGAGAUAUAUUUUUCAGAGCGCGUGCCAAGAAGAGAUGGUCUGUGAUGUCGAGAGAUGCUACAAUCAUUGACACUUUGUCGUUGCCAAUCUGAGGUGAUUUCAACAACGAUUCUCAGUUAUUGCUGAUAUAAAAGAAAUCAUCAAUGUUUGGAUUCUAGGCCUAUAUGUUGUAUUGACAAAACUUUACCAUGCUUUGUAUCUUGUUUCAUGUAGUAAUAAAACGCUUGCCUUAUUUCCCAUUUA